rnacentral:rRNA from 1 species
AGUGGCGGACGGGUGAGUAACACGUAAGAAUUUGCCUUUAGGAGGGGGAUAACAACUGGAAACGGUUGCUAAUACCCCAUAUGCUUUCGAGUGAAAUGGAUUUCCGCCUAAAGAGAAGCUUGCGGCUGAUUAGCUUGUUGGUAGGGUAAUGGCCUACCAAGGCGACGAUCAGUAUCUGGUUUGAGAGGACGAUCAGACACACUGGAACUGAGACACGGUCCAGACUCCUGCGGGAGGCAGCAGUAGGGAAUUUUCCGCAAUGGGCGAAAGCCUGACGGAGCAAUACCGCGUGAGGGAUGACUGCCUAUGGGUUGUAAACCUCUUUUUUCAGGGAGGAACAAAAUGACGUGUACCUGAAGAAUAAGCAUCGGCUAACUCCGUGCCAGCAGCCGCGGUAAGACGGAGGAUGCAAGUGUUAUCCGGAAUUAUUGGGCGUAAAGCGUCCGUAGGUGGUUAAGUAAGUCUGCUGUUAAAGCGUGGAGCUUAACUCCAUAUCGGCAGUGGAAACUACUCGACUUGAGUGCGGUAGGGGUCAGGGGAAUUUCCAGUGGAGCGGUGAAAUGCGUAGAUAUUGGAAAGAACACCGAUGGCGAAAGCACUUUACUGGGCUAUUACUGACACUCAGAGACGAAAGCUAGGGUAGCAAAUGGGAUUAGAUACCCCAGUAGUCCUAGCCGUAAACAAUGGAUACUAGGUGUUG